UGUGUAUUGUUUUACAAAUUUUGUUAAAUUAUCUUUGUGUUUUCUUGUAGCUCACUUACCUUCCUUAAAACAACUCUUCUGAAUUUUCCAUCAGGCAAAUCACAGAUGUUUGAGAGAAAGUGAUCAACCAGCAGCAGGUACCAGCCACAGUUAAAUGUACCUGCUUGGAGCUUUCAAAAAGCUAUUUCUGCAGUAAUGAAGAAAUUCGCAUUUCACCUCCCUCCACACAGGACUCACUGGAGAAAGAGGCAUCCCUAGUAAGAUUUCUCUUUUACUGACCUAAGGAAUAAUAAAGAAAGUCCUGGACUGAUUUUAGGAGGUGUGGAUCACAUGAGGAGUUCUGCCUCUGAUGAGCUGUGGAAAUAUGCAUGAGCUAUAUUCUCUCUAUAAUCAUUUCAUCUUUGUCAGUCAUCCUGUGCUGCUCCAGAAGAGCUGGCAGGGACUUUGACCAGCCAUGGGUCCCCAGACGAAAGCCAGGAUAUCAUCUGGGAAUGCAGCCUGGGUAGAAGCCAUGUUGAAGAGGGAAUCUCUGAACUCCAGGUGCUGCCUUCUUGAUCUCAGAUAGGUGGUUAAUAAUGCUCCCCUCUAGCCUGACUUUCAAGAUACCUUACUGCGACUUUUUGAUUUCCUAUUUCAGCUGCCUUAUUCAAUAUGUGUCUUUUCUUAAAAUCCACCUCCUGCUCUCUUAGAAGUUAGUGGGGGUGAGUUUCACACAUAAAUAUCUGCACCAUCAAAAUUUUCAUAGAGGUUGUGUGUAAAUAACUCUAAAUCCUUUGACACAGUGUGCUGUACUGGUUUUUUGAAAGGAUGGUUAUUGUUCUCACUCCCAUGUUUGAUACCUUUCAUGAAAACUGGAAGAAAUGGACUGAACAUAAGAGGCAUUUUCAGCCUCGAAGGAUAUUGUUGUGGGAAAAUUGGACUGACACAGAUGAGCUGAUGCAGCUUGGCGUAGUAGUGAGAAAUUUACUGUGCCUUACCUAAGCGAUGUUCCAUGCAUCCUUAUGGACUUGUCU